CCUCGUCUAAGGAGUCCUACCGAAUGUCUAUAGAUCAAGCCAAUGAAAAGUUGGGACCUGCAGUGCUCAGGCACUUCAAGAACGGGUCGUUCCCAGUAUCCCAGUACCUCCCAGUAUAUAAGAUAUAAACGAGACCUUUGAUUAAAUUAUUAAAAAAUUCAGAAUAUUAUUAAGUGUAUACUUAUUGAUAUACUCGUGCCUUACUUUCAAAUGAACAAAGAUUAAAACAAAAUAAAAUAUUUAAGAUGGCUGUCCUGUGGUUUGCAGCGCCGAGUAUCCUGUUGGAAAGGGCCUACCAACCAGAAGACAGCCAUCUUCGGACUCACCGCCGUGAAAACCUCAAAUCCUAAAUUAAAAUUAAAGAUUUCUUCCGUAAUGUGCUGCUGUUAAUCUUAGGAAACAUAAUUAUAUUUCAACGCGAAGAAAUUCAUUUGGUCUAAAAACUGAAAUAAUCGGGAUUAACAGAGAAAUCCAAUGAUUAACAUUCUUCUGACAUUACAAAUUUAAACCAAACCGAUAUGGAUUGGCUAGACAUGUAGCUUGAUUAUACUGAAAAUGAAACGCAGAGCAUUAUUGGCGAGCCCCUUGGAAUGAGCCGCCGAGGCACAUAGGCCUGUUCGUCGUGAACUUGGUUGCUGCAGUGAGGGUAUUAAGUAAUAGUCUGGAAUUAUCUGUGUUCUGAUUGCUCAUCUCCCAGAUGACGGCGCGUGGUAGUUACGGACAAGCGGUCAGCGUGCGGUGGAUUGAGAUCAACAGUUAUUGGCAGGUCCGUGGGCCGACUCGUUCCACAGCGUUAACAGGACCACAGUUCCGCGCAAGAACGUUGCAAGGAGACGAGCUUAACUUCAUGGGACGCGUACUCCAGCUAUGGACGGAGACGAGGAGUGUCUGCUGGAGCGAGACAGGAUGCGUCUGUGCGAGUGUGUCUGGAGCUGGAAUCGAAGUGAGGUCACCGGAGGUCACCACCUCGCUCUUUGACCUUCUCUUUCACGUCUGACGGACAGAACGUGCUUCCUUUGGGUUAAACACAUCCAGUGUAUGCCAUAUGGAACAGAGUGGUGGUACGUGCAGAGAGCCUUAUUACCGAAGGUGGAUUGUAAAGCUUCCCCCCAACCGCUGCUGCAGUGACUUGCAGAAAUCCUGUUCUGCAAACAUCGCAAAUUUCGGUUGCUGCAGAACCUCUUUAUACACGAAUCCGCUUUGCACUGUUUCCGACACACUGCAAGGGGGGUUGCUGCAACAACAAGGCAGCAAAUAAAACAACUGCCAAGCCAAGGAGCACAACGCCACGUCAGAUGGUCCCACCGAAAGCAAAGCCGAGGGAGAGAGGUUUGGUUUGCCGUGACGUCACUUCUGGGAGAUACAUGGCAGCCCCGUGUUCCUAUUGGUCCGAAAACUACUUCACACCCCUCCUCUUUUUAAGCACAUUCACCCCUCUCGCUGCGGUUAUAAGAACGUAUUUUAUCAGUCCCCACCGCAACCCUUAUACAUACAUAUUUUACGACAAAAAGGGAGAAAAAUACCGGUAGUGUACCAUCCUUAUGGAACCCCAUUUUUUAAUUAGCGUAAAUGCUGGUUAAUAGGCCUACUGUAAGAUACGAGUAUGUUGAUACGUGGAGCUGGGCGGAGGGGUUUGAGUACGCGGGGGAGGGGGUAUCUGUACAUUUCCCUUAGGCUGACAGCGACACAAGACGCAUCACGCUAAAAUAAUGGAGAGUCUAAAGUAAGGUGGGCAAACAGCGAUCCGGGAGACAUGUUAAGGUUGAGGGUUGUACGCGUGCGAAUAUGCUCCAUUAAUUUUGAAUUAUACAGAAUCAAAAAAUAGGAGAAUACACGUAGUUAUGAAGUGACAGGGGUUGGAAGAAAUUACUGAAAGAUAUGUGAAAGACCGAGAUAAAAAGGGGUGGAUAAUGAUAAGGGAAGAGAAUCAUAAAAUUAAGAUUUUUUAUUCUUAGAUUAAUUAUCGCCUAUUUUUAUAUCAACCACCAAGCACGUAAUUUGUAAACCUACAAUUCAUUACUUGGUUGCUUCGAAAAUCAAUAUUAAAUGUGACAUUUUAAAAUUUCAACUACAGUUUAGGGAAAUAAGUUUCGAUAAUAAGAACGAGGAAGAAGAAUUCCAGAUGGACUUUUGUCUGAGCCGAAACUACGACUCAAAAUCAACACUGAAUUCGAGAUUUCAGGCUAUCGCUGCGGUGAACAUGUCGAUAUUUGUCUGUUGAGUAGUAACGUCAUGUGGACUUGUUGGAAGAUACCAACAUUUCGUAAAAGAAACGUACCGUCUACAUAUUCAGGGCUGGAGACAGAAAUGGACACUGAAUAUCUUUAACAAUUGAACAAUUAGUUGGCACGACCCACUGGAGCCAGUCAUAUUUGCCUCAGUCAAGCUUAUUAACUGUUAAGGAAUUGAAAUUUCUUGUACCACUUUACAGAGAGUGAUAGUCUCAUAUCUUGUUAUGACAAAUAUCCACAGGAUACAAACUGUAGUAAAACAUUUUAAUGCAUGUAAAUGUUUUAACUAGCCUAUAGUGUAAUUAUAGACCUAUAUGUGUUGUAACAAAUAUAUCUAACUGUAUACAAAUUAACAAAUACAUUAAUCCAAUACAACAUAGCAUAGAAGUAAGGUUAAGUGUCCGUCUACACAACAAUUAUUGGUUAUAGUUUCAAUAUUUAUUAAGAGACCACAUGCAGACGAACAUUCAAUCUAACUUUCAACACAAAACAGGAU